rnacentral:rRNA from 1 species
GAUGAACGCUGGCGGCGUGCUUAACACAUGCAAGUCGAACGAAGCACUUGAAACAGAUUCUUCGGAUGAAGUUUCCUGUGACUGAGUGGCGGACGGGUGAGUAACGCGUGGGUAACCUGCCUCAUACAGGGGGAUAACAGUUAGAAAUGGCUGCUAAUACCGCAUAAGCGCACGGUACUGCAUGGUACAGUGUGAAAAACUCCGGUGGUAUGAGAUGGACCCGCGUUGGAUUAGCUAGUUGGCAGGGUAACGGCCUACCAAGGCGACGAUCCAUAGCCGGCCUGAGAGGGUGGACGGCCACAUUGGGACUGAGACACGGCCCAGACUCCUACGGGAGGCAGCAGUGGGGAAUAUUGCACAAUGGGGGAAACCCUGAUGCAGCGACGCCGCGUGAGCGAAGAAGUAUUUCGGUAUGUAAAGCUCUAUCAGCAGGGAAGAAAAUGACGGUACCUGACUAAGAAGCCCCGGCUAACUACGUGCCAGCCGCCGCGGUAA